AUGAUGAAUUGCAAAGUGUCAAAUAUGCCUCUGUCCACAUCCGAAAAGCUCUCUAAGGAAAAUGGUGAAAUCUUGGGAGCUCAUGAUUCUACAAAUUACAGAAGUGUGGUAGGUGCAUUGCAGUACUUGACUUUGACAAGGCCUGAUAUAUCCUUCUCUGUCAAUAAAGUAUGUCAAUUCUUGCACUCUCCUACCCUUGAACACUGGACUGCAGUAAAAAGAAUUCUUAGAUAUCUCAGAGGAACCAUGAGUACUGGACUGAAAUUUUCCAAGUCAAGUUCUACGUUGGUAAGUGCCUUUUCAGAUGCAGAUUGGGCAGGAUGUCCAGAUGACAGAAGGUCCACAGGUGGCUUUGCUGUUUUCUUUGGACCCAACUUGAUAUCUUGGAGUGCACGCAAACAAGCAACAGUAUCAAGGUCUAGUACUGAGGCAGAAUACAAGGCGUUAGCAAAUGCCACAGCUGAAAUUAUAUGGGUUCAAACUCUGCUAAAAGAGUUAGGUGUGACACAUUCACCAGUUGCAUGUCUUUGGUGUGAUAAUAUUGGUGCCACUUACCUUUCAGCAAACCCAGUAUUUCAUGCAAGGACGAAACAUAUUGAAGUGGAUUAUCACUUUGUGAGAGAAAGAGUAGCCAAGAAGCUACUGGACAUCCGUUUCAUUCCCACCAAUGAUCAAGUUGCAGAUGGCUUCACCAAAGCCCUAUCAUGGCGUAAAUUGGAAGAUUUCAAGAGCAAUCUCAACUUGGUAAGUUAUGAUUGA
rnacentral:rRNA from 1 species